rnacentral:lncRNA from 1 species
CGCCGGAAUAUAUGGGUGAUCAUAGGGGACGCCCUCAGGUUGAGAAUGUUCAUCUAACCAUUUACUCUGUUGUCCAACAAAAGAGACCACCAAAAUCAAAUAUCACUCAGCCAAGCAAGCACAAUUAAAUCGAGUAUUUACAUUAUUCAAGCCAUCAAAGAUAUCUUGAGAUUUUUCAUCCCCUAUGUGCAUAGUACCAAUCAAAUUAACUCUCCAGAUUAUGUUUACUCUAGCUGUACAACAUAAAAGAAAGAAAUAGUAGGCUGCAUAAAAGAAACAAAAGCCCAUAAAGAUUCUGGACCAGCAUAACACUCCAGUUAAAUAAAAUUCAAGCUCUUUGUAUUGAGGGAAUCGUUUAAGCCACUUUGUGGAAGACAUUUAUGCCAAAUGUGGUGGUCCAUGACCAAGCCUCUUUUUACUUGUAGCAAUAUAAACACUUGCAGGGGAGGGGUUCCAACGUAAGCCCAAAUAAAUUAGAGCUUACCACCUAUGUCGAGGAGGAAGAAUAAUCAAGGCCACCGGAUGGGCAGGGCAGGAGUCAUCAGGAGAGGCCACCUUGGUAGCAUCCGAUCCUCGCCAGAUUGGAGCAGCUUUUCCUUUCACCAGAUGGUAGCAAAGAGCACACAACCUGCGGUGUUGCUGCAAGAAAAAGCAUCAUGUAAUCAGGGAAUGCAAUGAGUUGUUAAGGUACUAGACUUCAAUACACAAGAUCAAUUCUUUUAAAAAUACACCAUGUCAAAUUAUACUGAAUGCACAAGAAACAAAAUCCCAUAAAGAUUCUAGACCAGCAAAAUUCUCCAGUUAAAUAAAAUUCACGCUCUUUGUAUUGAGGGAAUCAUUCAAGCCACUUUGUUAGGAAGACCGAUGAAUAAAAUGGGUACCGAUAUGAAACAAGAAGGGUUGUAAGACUGGAAACUAACGACUACAAUAUGAGUGUAAGUAGCCGUUCAAGGAUCCAAUUCAUCGAAAAUAAAAUACUGCUAAACACAAGCAGUCGACUUUGUGCACUCAGCCAGUGGAGGUGAGCAUCAGAUAAAAAAUUGUUGAAGGUACUUGUUUUGCACAAGUGUGGUGGGACUUUGCAUCUACCAGUUGGUCAAAUUUCAUGGCCAAUUGCAAGAUACAAUGAUUUGUGCUUAUGUGGUGGUCCAUGACCAAGCCUCUUGUUACUUGUAGCAAUACAAACACUUGCAGGGAAGGGGUUCCAAUGUAGGCCCAAACUAAUUAGAGCUUACCACCUAUGCUGUGGAGGAAGAAAAAUCGAGGUGACCGAAGGGGCAGGGCAGAAGUCGUCAAGAGAGGCCACCUUGGUGGGCAUCCUCACAGAUCGGAGCGGCUUUUCCUUUCACCAGAUGGUAGCAAAUAGCACAAAACCUGCGGUGCCG